AUGACAUGGUUCAACGCCUCCGAUCAGGUGAUUUCCAUAACCAGCAAGACAGCUCGUCCUCAGUCCCCCCCUGGUGUGGUCUUGUUGGCCCCCUCCCAGGACCUCUCCUCUGGGGACAGGGCUGCUGUGGUGUGUCUGGCUCAGGGCUUCUACCCUGACGGUGCCACCCUGACCUGGUCAGAGGAUGGCAAAGCUGUGGCGGGCACUGAGUUCCAGACGGGCGAGUCUCAGCGCCAGUCUGAUGGCACCUUCUCCCUCAGCAGCGUCCUGACGGUCCAGCCGGAACGCUGGCGCUCUGGACACACCUACACCUGUCAGCUGAGCCACUCCGCCCUCUCCAGCCCUCUGAGCAAGAGUGUGGCACACGGCCAGUGCAGCUAGAGGCAGAGAGCAGGAGGCAGCCAAUCAAGCCCCACACACAGCACUGGCUCUGCUACUGCUAUGCUCACAUAUCCUCAGACAUUCACUCUUUUCUACUGCAUACAUUCUUCAAGCUGAAGGCUGGUGGUGUUUGAAAGAGGAUGGGCAUCUUUGUGCUUGCUCGGUAUUUAGUCAUUUGAAAGCAUGUGUGGCUACAUUGUGCUAUUUUUUAUUUGAUUUGAAUGCUUUAAGUGGUUUAUCUGCACAACGUCUUCUCAAUAAAUACUUUAAUUUCAUGAAAACAUGACAAAUUGUCUUAUUGUCUAC